GUGAACGCUGGCGGUAGGCCUAACACAUGCAAGUCGAACGGCAGCACAGUAAGAGCUUGCUCUUACGGGUGGCGAGUGGCGGACGGGUGAGGAAUACAUCGGAAUCUACUUUUUCGUGGGGGAUAACGUAGGGGAACUUACGCUAAUACCGCAUACGACCUACGGGUGAAAGCAGGGGAUCUUCGGACCUUGCGCGAUUGAAUGAGCCGAUGUCGGAUUAGCUAGUUGGCGGGGUAAAGGCCCACCAAGGCGACGAUCCGUAGCUGGUCUGAGAGGAUGAUCAGCCACACUGGAACUGAGACACGGUCCAGACUCCUACGGGAGGCAGCAGUGGGGAAUAUUGGACAAUGGGCGCAAGCCUGAUCCAGCCAUACCGCGUGGGUGAAGAAGGCCUUCGGGUUGUAAAGCCCUUUUGUUGGGAAAGAAAAGCAGCAGGUUAAUACCCCGCUGUUCUGACGGUACCCAAAGAAUAAGCACCGGCUAACUUCGUG
rnacentral:rRNA from 1 species